CGCAUCUGUGCAUGCAGCAUAUCAAUAAGCGGAGGAAAGAAACUAACAAGGAUUCUCUUAGUAACGGCGGAGUGAAGCGGGAAGAGCUCAAAUUUGAAAUCUUCAAGGUUUUACCUUGACGAAUUGUAGUUUAAAGAAGUGUUUUCUGUUGAAGUUUUGGUAAAAGUUCUUUGGAAUAGGACAUCAUAGAGGGUGAGAAUCCCGUAUUUGACCAUUAUUUUCAGCUGUGUGAUACACUUUCAAAGAGUCGGAUUGUUUGGGAAUGCAGUCCAAAAUGGGUGGUAAAUUUCAUCUAAAGCUAAAUAUUGGCGAGAGACCGAUAGCGAACAAGUACCGUGAGGGAAAGAUGAAAAGAACUUUGAAAAGAGAGUUAAACAGUACGUGAAAUUGUCAAAAGGGAAGCGUUUGACACCAGUGUUGUUUUCUCGAAAAUCAAUUAAAAAGAGUUAGAUUUUGUUGUGUAUUGACCUUAACAGCUUGCAUUUCAAUUUUCUUGCUUUUUUUAAUGCACUUUUCGUUUAACAAGUCAACAUCAGUUUCUUUUGUUGUAAAAAGGUCAUUGGAAGGUGGCUUUCUUUUCGGAGAAAGUGUUUAUAGCCUUUGACUCCUGCAAUCGGAGAGACUGAGGUCUGCAGCGUAGAUCCUUCGGGGUUAGAUACAUUUGUGCUAAGUUAUAGCUUUUUAUAGACAACUUGUUGACUAUGAUUAGUCUUGUAGCUUACUCGCUUAUGCUAUUUUACCUACGCUUAGGAUGUUGACACACGCGCGUGCUCG
rnacentral:rRNA from 1 species